CAAGAAUUAAAUGUAAUUGUAUUUCUGAAAAUGAGAACAUAAUGAAGAAAAAAAUAUAUAGUGCAAAUAAUUUAAUUUGGUAAAUGUGAUUAAGGUAAAGAGUAUAUCUUUCCCUGACCUGUAGAAUAUUUAAAUCCGUGAUCAACGGAACAUAAUUUGCUUGUUCAAGGACAGGUGAACACUGAAAUAUCAAUUCCUACCACAUUAUGUCUUUUAUAACUGGCAAACAUUAUGGAACAUAUUAUUCAAAAUCAGCUCUACAGUUGGUGAGGGAACGUAAGCUUAAACUGGAUUUGGUUUAUUGUGAAAACAUGUUUAAAAUAUCUUAGAUCUAUAAAAUCUAGAAGCUGUAAGAUUAGUUAAGUGUAAUUUAAAGGAAGGUGAUAGGAUAUCAUGAUACUGUGAGCUCAGAGGGCCACUAUCUCGGAGAAAGAACUUAAUCAAUGCUUCCCCUUUAUUAUCUCCUCUUUGCAAAAUCACACUAGCUCCUAAUCAACAUUACAGUAAUGCUACUAAUUUAAAUAACUAUGUUACACCUAAAAAAAACCAACUCAACUAACUGGCAGUACUCAGCCAUUCACAUUGUCCUCAUGGCCAUGAUGCAGAAAGAACGAUAAUAAAAUAACCAGCAGCUGUUGUGUAUUUCUGUAGAUGACCUUCUGGUUGGCUUGACCUAUUCUGGGGUACCAUCACAUUUUAAUUUUAAAAGGUGAAUGUGUUUAUUUUAAAAGAUGUCUUAUUUCAAUGGACAAAAGAUGAUGUUGAUGAUGAUGGAAAAAGUAUUUGGUAAAGAGCCUCUUAAGAAAACUGAAGGUAUGGUGGUUGG